GACGAACGCUAGCGGCGUGCUUAACACAUGCAAGUCGAACGGAAAGGCCUGCUUUCCCUUGUGGAUUGCGGGUACUCGAGUGGCGAACGGGUGAGUAACACGUGAUUGAUCUUCCCCCAACUUGGGUCUAAGCCUGGGAAACUGGGUCUAAUUCCCGAUAGGACUGCAGGGUGGUGCCUGUGGUGGAAACCGAUUUUCUAGUGGUUGGGGAUGAGCUCGCGGCCUAUCAGCUUGUUGGUGGGGUACUGGUCUACCAAGGCGGCGAAGGGUAGCCGGCCUGGGAGGGUGGACGGCGAGAGUGGGACUGAGACACGGCCCAGACUGCUAGGGGCGGCAGCAGAGGGGGAUAUUGGAGAGUGGGCGGAAGCCUGAUGCAGCGACGCCGUGUAGGGGACGACCGGGUUCGAGUUGUCAACUCCUGGCGACCGAGAGGAAGACACUUGGUUGGAAGGGUGGUGACGGUAGUGGUAGAAGAAGCACCGGCUAACUACGUG
rnacentral:rRNA from 1 species